rnacentral:rRNA from 1 species
AACGAACGCUGGCGGCAGGCCUAACACAUGCAAGUCGAACGGGACCUUCGGGUCUAGUGGCGGACGGGUGAGUAACGCGUGGGAACGUGCCCUUUGGUUCGGAAUAGCCCCGGGAAACUGGGAGUAAUACCGGAUAAGCCCUACGGGGGAAAGAUUUAUCGCCAAAGGAUCGGCCCGCGUUGGAUUAGGUAGUUGGUGAGUUAAUGGCUCACUAAGCCGACGAUCCAUAGCUGGUUUGAGAGGAUGAUCAGCCACACUGGGACUGGGGCACGGCCCAGACUCCUACGGGAGGCAGCAGUGGGGAAUCUUAGACAAUGGGGGAAACCCUGAUCUAGCCAUGCCGCGUGAUCGAUGAAGGCCUUAGGGUUGUAAAGAUCUUUCAGUGGGGAAGAUAAUGACUGUACCCACAGAAGAAGCCCCGGCUAACUCCGUGCCAGCCGCCGCGGUAA